rnacentral:rRNA from 1 species
UAAAACUCAAAUGAAUUGACGGGGGCCCGCACAAGCGGUGGAGCAUGUGGUUUAAUUCGAUGCAACGCGAAGAACCUUACCUGGUCUUGACAUCCACAGAAGUUUCCAGAGAUGAGAUUGUGCCUUCGGGAACUGUGAGACAGGUGCUGCAUGGCUGUCGUCAGCUCGUGUUGUGAAAUGUUGGGUUAAGUCCCGCAACGAGCGCAACCCUUAUCCUUUGUUGCCAGCGGUUAGGCCGGGAACUCAAAGGAGACUGCCAGUGAUAAACUGGAGGAAGGUGGGGAUGACGUCAAGUCAUCAUGGCCCUUACGACCAGGGCUACACACGUGCUACAAUGGCGCAUACAAAGAGAAGCGACCUCGCGAGAGCAAGCGGACCUCAUAAAGUGCGUCGUAGUCCGGAUUGGAGUCUGCAACUCGACUCCAUGAAGUCGGAAUCGCUAGUAAUCGUGGAUCAGAAUGCCACGGUGAAUACGUUCCCGGGCCUUGUACACACCGCCCGUCACACCAUGGGAGUGGGUUGCAAAAGAAGUAGGUAGCUUAACCUUCGGGAGGGCGCUUACCACUUUGUGAUUCAUGACUGGGGUGAAGUCGUAACAAGGUAACCGUAGGGGAACCUGCGGUUGGAUCACCUCCUUACCUUAAAGAAGC